AAUCAUAUUUGCCUGUUUUGUGUCACGGUCUGAAUAAAUUUAUAUUGUUAAAAGUACAGAAAUUAUUCGUUGUAACCACGUGGACACCGCAAGCAGGGCUGUCAAAGGCGGGAUUUUCUUCACACAAUCUAGAUUCUCUACUACUUUAAUUUUAAUAGUGGAAUUUCAUUCAUUAUUUGUUUUUUUAAAUAGUGGAAUUUCAUUCAUUAUUUGUUUUUAGGACUAAAAAUAAUGCUCGAAUAUCAGAAUAGGUGGCAGAAAUUUGAUGCUGAUAGGGUGGAGUAAACCCUUGACUUGCUUGUAUUUAUGAUGGUCCGUCUCGUUGCCGUUGUUUCAAUUUCAUUUUUUUUUCAUACAUUUCAAUGUAAUUCUUGCAAACGAAUUUUCUCCAGGUAUAUAUUUAUUUAAACACUUUUUAUUUAUGAGUUUACUCGUAGUGAAGGAGUCUCUAGUGUUCAACAAACUCUCCGAGUUUGACUUCAACUGCCGUUUGGAACGUGUUCUUCAUGUUCAAUUAUGACCGUGUAAAUAGUCAUUAAUAUGGCGUCUCGUUAUAAGAAUCGCCUUAUAUUUUAAAUAACUAGGUAUAUAAGUUUUGGAUGAAGAAAUUUUAACUUUGAAAAACUAUUGGCCGAGAAUUGAAGUUCAGCAAAAAAUGUUAUUGUAUGGAAAUAAUCUCCUAUAAUAAUGAUAUGAUCGUCAUUUUUGCCACAAAUCUUAACCUUGAUGCUAGUGUCAGGCUAGGCCAGCGAUGUAGAAUAAUGGAGUCUUUUUUUAAGUAUUACUGGUACUUGAGGUGCUCCUUGCAUCUCCUAUUUUAAUAUCCAUCUUAUUUAUCGGGCGUUUAAUUGUAGGUAGCAAUAACCAUCUUAUUUAUAGGGCGUUUAAGUGUAGGUAGCAAUAAAAGCUGAGAUCGUGGAUGCGUCAGGAAUUCACCCUGUGCUUCUGUAUUAUACUCAGGAAUAUUGCCUAAAUGAGAGCUCGUGUAAAUAAUGCAAAUUUCGUUGUGCUAGU